AACGCACGAGACCUGCGGACCUGCGGAGGGAUCAUUACUGAGGAGGGUCCAUGGCCCGAUCUCCAACCCUUUGAUAAAAACACCAUGUUGCUUUGGCAGGCCCGCCCGUUGGGGCCGCGGGGGAUCGCCGGUCCCUAGCCCGUGCCUGCCGGUAGCCUUCACAAAACUCUCAAAAUGUUGUCGUCUGAGAUGAUUAGAAUAAUAAAACUUUCAACAACGGAUCUCUAGAUCGGAAGAGCA
rnacentral:misc_RNA from 1 species